UGCAAGUCGAGCGGACCGACGGGAGCUUGCUCCCUUAGGUCAGCGGCGGACGGGUGAGUAACACGUGGGUAACCUGCCUGUAAGACUGGGAUAACUCCGGGAAACCGGGGCUAAUACCGGAUGCUUGAUUGAACCGCAUGGUUUAAUUAUAAAAGGUGGCUUUUAGCUACCACUUACAGAUGGACCCGCGGCGCAUUAGCUAGUUGGUGAGGUAACGGCUCACCAAGGCAACGAUGCGUAGCCGACCUGAGAGGGUGAUCGGCCACACUGGGACUGAGACACGGCCCAGACUCCUACGGGAGGCAGCAGUAGGGAAUCUUCCGCAAUGGACGAAAGUCUGACGGAGCAACGCCGCGUGAGUGAUGAAGGUUUUCGGAUCGUAAAACUCUGUUGUUAGGGAAGAACAAGUACCGUUCGAAUAGGGCGGUACCUUGACGGUACCUAACCAGAAAGCCACGGCUAACUACGUGCCAGCAGCCGCGGUAAUACGUAGGUGGCAAGCGUUGUCCGGAAUUAUUGGGCGUAAAGCGCGCGCAGGCGGUUUCUUAAGUCUGGUGUGAAAGCCCCCGGCUCAACCGGGGAGGGUCAUUGGAAACUGGGGAACUUGAGUGCAGAAGAGGAGAGUGGAAUUCCACGUGUAGCGGUGAAAUGCGUAGAGAUGUGGAGGAACACCAGUGGCGAAGGCGACUCUCUGGUCUGUAACUGACGCUGAGGCGCG
rnacentral:rRNA from 1 species